rnacentral:tRNA from 14 species
AUCUUUGGCCGAGUGGUCAAGGCGAUGGACUAGAAAAUCCUUUGUGGUCUCCCUGCGCAGGUUAGAAUCCUGCCGAUA